CAGUCGCCGCGGGAAUACGGAGGGGGCUAGCGUUGUUCGGAAUUACUGGGCGUAAAGCGCACGUAGGCGGCUUUGUAAGUUAGAGGUGAAAGCCCGGAGCUCAACUCCGGAAUUGCCUUUAAGACUGCAGAGCUAGCAGGUGAGAGAGGUGAGUGGAAUUCCGAGUGUAGAGGUGAAAUGCGUAGAGAUCUGGAGGAAUACCGGUGGCGAAGGCGGCCCCCUGACAAAGACUGACGCUCAGGUGCGAAAGCGUGGGGAGCAAACAGGAUUAGAUACCCCUGUAGUCCCUGUCUCUUAUACC
rnacentral:rRNA from 1 species